rnacentral:rRNA from 1 species
UGGGGAAUAUUGCACAAUGGGCGCAAGCCUGAUGCAGCCAUGCCGCGUGUGUGAAGAAGGCCUUCGGGUUGUAAAGCACUUUCAGCGGGGAGGAAGGCGAUAAGGUUAAUAACCUCAUCGAUUGACGUUACCCGCAGAAGAAGCACCGGCUAACUCCGUGCCAGCAGCCGCGGUAAUACGGAGGGUGCAAGCGUUAAUCGGAAUUACUGGGCGUAAAGCGCACGCAGGCGGUUGAUUGAGUCAGAUGUGAAAUCCCCGGGCUUAACCCGGGAAUUGCAUCUGAUACUGGUCAGCUAGAGUAUUGUAGAGGGGGGUAGAAUUCCAUGUGUAGCGGUGAAAUGCGUAGAGAUGUGGAGGAAUACCGGUGGCGAAGGCGGCCCCCUGGACAAAGACUGACGCUCAGGUGCGAAAGCGUGGGGAGCAAACAGG